GAAUGACCAGUCUUUGGCAACCGCUCCAUGUACAUCCCUCCCAGAGUUGCGCUCUCAGUCUAAGAGGACAACCAUCCCGGAUAGAGGGGGACCAUUCUUCCUUCAAGGGUAUAGGAGUAGCUGCGCUCCCCUGCUCGAACCUCCAAAUAAGCUCUCAAGACUGGUAAUUCAGCCACAAAGUAAGUAUCUUCCAGAUUCAGCCACAAAGAAGUUAACUCAUUUUUGCUAACAUUU
rnacentral:snRNA from 1 species